UUUUUUAACAAAUUUUAAUGUUAACACACACACACACACAUAUAUAUAUAUGGAGCCUCUGAGCUACGAGGGCUACCUUCCUCUCUAAUUCACCUCCUGAUACCCCAGUAUGGCUCGAAAGAAGAGCUUUCUCGCCCCUAUUCCCGUCAUGUUCCUUGGAUUAUUUACAAGUGGUAUUCAAGCUCUUAUUUUUGCAAUUUUAGCCGCGGCUUAUAUAGGUGAAUCUAUGGAGGGCCAUCAUUGAAAUAGUCUUUUUUUUUAGCUUAAUGCAAAGCAAUGUAUGUGUGGCGCAAGAUAAUUGACUUAAGGAAUAGAAAUAUACAACGACGCUAUAUACGAUAGAAAAUAGAAAGUAAUAGGAAUAUAUAUAUAUAUCAUAGAAUGCAUUUGAAAUGCUCCAUCUGUUUACUUAUAGAAAUAUUGUCAUAUUCCUAAUGACACCGGUAGUCAUUA
rnacentral:lncRNA from 1 species